rnacentral:rRNA from 1 species
UACGGAGGGAGCUAGCGUUGUUCGGAAUUACUGGGCGUAAAGCGCACGUAGGCGGCUUUGUAAGUUAGAGGUGAAAGCCUGGGGCUCAACCCCAGAAUUGCCUUUAAGACUGCAUCGCUUGAAUCCAGGAGAGGUGAGUGGAAUUCCGAGUGUAGAGGUGAAAUUCGUAGAUAUUCGGAAGAACACCAGUGGCGAAGGCGGCUCACUGGACUGGUAUUGACGCUGAGGUGGCGAAAGCGUGGGGAGCAAACAGG